UACGUAGGGGGCUAGCGUUGUCCGGAUUUAUUGGGCGUAAAGAGCGUGUAGGCGGCCAGAUAGGUCUGCUGUGAAAACUCGAGGCUCAACCUCGAGAUGUCGGCGGAAACCAUUUGGCUAGAGUCCGGAAGAGGAAAGUGGAAUUCCUGGUGUAGCGGUGAAAUGCGCAGAUAUCAGGAAGAACACCCGUGGCGAAGGCGGCUGUCUGGGACGGUACUGACGCUGAGACGCGAAAGCGUGGGGAGCGAACAGG
rnacentral:rRNA from 1 species